rnacentral:rRNA from 1 species
GCGAUGAAGGGACGCUGCGUGGUAGGUCAGCCUCUUAACGGAUUGAGGUGCCAAACGCGUAGGACGUUGAAGGGUGUAGGUAAGUCCGCACCCCGAGUCCGAAACGUGAUGGCGGUGCCUUAGAGCCACAAGUGAUUGAGCCAUGCCGCCUAGAAAAGCUUCUAAGCGUUGAUAUUUGAGUGACCGUACCGCAAACCGACACUGGUAGGUGGGUAGAAUAUACCAAGGGGAGCGAGAGAACCCUCGUUAAGGAAUUAGGCAAAUUUCCCCCGUACGUUCGCAAUAAGGGGGGCCUCUGGUGGUGAGCUUAAUCGCAAAGCUGCUGGAGGCCGCAGAGAAAUGGCUCUUCCAACUGUUUAACAAAAACACAGGUCUCUGCUAAGUCGAAAGACGAAGUAUAGGGGCUGACGCCUGCCCAGUGCUGGAAGGUUAAGGGGAGAGGUUAGGCGCAAGCCGAAGCUUUGAGCCGAAGCCCCAGUGAACGGCGGCCGUAACUAUAACGGUCCUAAGGUAGCGAAAUUCCUUGUCAGGUAAGUUCCGACCCGCACGAAUGGCGUAAUGAGAGGAGCACUGUCUCAACGAGGGACUCGGCGAACAUUGAAGGACGUGUGAAGAUACACGUGACCCGCAGCGGGACAAAAAGACCCCGUGAAGCUUUACUACAACUUGCCAUUGAGUUAGGGCUAAACCUGUGUAGUAUAGGUGGGAGGCUUUGAAGCUGGGACGCCAGUCUCGGUGGAGCCACCGUUGAAAUACCACCCUGGUUUAUUCUUGGCUCUAACCUGUCGCCGUUAUCCGGCAUGGGAACAGUGGCUGGUGGGUAGUUUGACUGGGGCGGUCGCCUCCGAAAGCGUAACAGAGGCGCCCAAAGGUUCCCUCAGGCUGAAUGGAAACCAGCCGUUGAGUGUAAAGGCACAAGGGAGCUUGACUGCAAGACCAACAAGUCGCGCAGGGACGAAAGUCGGGCUUAGUGAUCCCACGGUUCAGGGUGGAAUGGCCGUGGCUUACCGGAUAAAAGCUACUCCGGGGAUAACAGGGUAGUCUGGUCCAAGAGUUCAUAUCGACGACCAGGUUCGCCACCUCGAUGUCGGCUCAUCACAUCCUGGGGCUGGAUAAGGUCCCAAGGGUUGGGCUGUUCGCCCAUUAAAGUGGUACGUGAGCUGGGUUCAGACCGUCGUGAGACAGGUCGGUCUCUAUCCGCUGUGGGCGUAAGGGAUUUGAGAGAAGCUGCCCCUAGUACGAGAGGACCGGGGUGGACGGACCUCUAGUGUGCCAGUUGUUCUGCCAAGAGCAUUGCUGGGUAGCUACGUCCGGCAGAGAUAACCGCUGAAAGCAUCUAAGUGGGAAACUCGUCUCAAGAUUAGAUCCCUCAUCCGUAUGGAGUAAGACCGCUAGAAGACUACUAGUUUGAUAGGCGGCAGGUGUAAGCGCAGUAAUGUGUUCAGCUUAGCCGUACUAAUGGUCGAGGGCUUACGUUU